GCAUCAGUGGUUUAGUGGCAAAAUCCAUCGUUGCCAUCGAUGGGCCCCGUGUUCGAUUCACGGCUGAUGCA
rnacentral:tRNA from 1 species